UACAGAGGGGGCAAGCGUUGUUCGGAAUUACUGGGCGUAAAGGGCGCGUAGGCGGCCUCUUAAGUCGAACGUGAAAUCCCCCGGCUUAACCUGGGAACUGCGUCUGAUACUGGGAGGCUCGAGUAUGGGAGAGGGAUGUAGAAUUCCAGGUGUAGCGGUGAAAUGCGUAGAUAUCUGGAGGAAUACCGGUGGCGAAGGCGGCAUCCUGGACCAUUACUGACGCUGAGGCGCGAAAGCUAGGGGAGCAAACGGG
rnacentral:rRNA from 1 species